GGUCAAGUUAUUAAGGGUGCAGGGCGGAUGCCUUGGCACUAGGAGCCGAUGAAGGACGUGAUAAGCUGCGAUAAGCUUCGGGGAGUUGCACGUAAACUUUGAUCCGAAGAUUUCCGAAUGAGGAAACUCACUUAGAGUAAUGUCUAAGUAUCAUUAAGUGAAUACAUAGCUUAAUGAGGGGAACUCAGGGAACUGAAACAUCUAAGUACCUGAAGGAAGAGAAAGAAAUUCGAUUCCGUAAGUAGCGGCGAGCGAACGCGGAUUAGCC
rnacentral:rRNA from 1 species